rnacentral:rRNA from 1 species
UACGAAGGGGGCUAGCGUUGUUCGGAAUUACUGGGCGUAAAGCGCACGUAGGCGGCUUUUUAAGUCAGGGGUGAAAUCCCGGGGCUCAACCCCGGAACUGCCUUUGAUACUGGGUAUCUCGAGUCCGAGAGAGGUGAGUGGAAUUCCGAGUGUAGAGGUGAAAUUCGUAGAUAUUCGGAGGAACACCAGUGGCGAAGGCGGCUCACUGGCUCGGUACUGACGCUGAGGUGCGAAAGCGUGGGGAGCAAACAGG